rnacentral:lncRNA from 1 species
CCGCCCCCCCCCAAAGGUGCAGACUCCCGGCCGCAAACCUGAACCUAUUGGGGAGGGUCCGGGUGAGCAUCCAUACUUGGCGGCGGCUCUGGUUCCGGGCGUAGAACCCUCCCCCCCGCCCACUGAUCCCCCCGCUUCUGUGUGUCCGGCGGAACCAAACCGUGGGUCAUCGCCAGAGGCUCUGAAACGCCACCCGCCGCUGAAGGCUCCGGGCUGCAGACUGCCGCUGAAGGCUCCGGGCUGCAGACCGCCGCUGAAGGCUCCGGGCUGCAGACCACCGCUGAAGACUCCGGACUGGGGUGCACCGCUGGAGGCUCCAGGCUGAGGUGCGUUGCUGGAGGCUCCGGACUGGGAAGUGUCGCUGGAGGCUCCGUACUGGUGAGCGUCGCUAGGGGCUCUGGACUGAGGAGCGUCGUUGGAGGCUCCGGACUGAGGAGCGUUGCUGGAGGCUCCGGACUGAGGAGUGUCGCUGGAGGGUCCGGACUGAGGAGUGUCGCUGGAGACUCCGGAUGGAGAAGCGUCGCCGGAGGCUCCGAACUGGGAGGCGUCAUAAUAGGUUCCGGACUAGUGACCGUUGCUCCUGGCUGCAUGCCAUGGAUCAUCUCUACAGGUGCCAGGCCAUGGAUUAUUCCUACAGGCUUUGUGCCAUGGUUUAUCCCUACAGGCUCCGGACCAUUUAUAAUCCUUCCAGGCUUUUUUCCAAGGAUUAUCUCUACAGGUUCCAGGCCAUGGAUCAUCACUAGAAGAUUAGUGCCAUGGAUCAUCUCUACAGGCGUCGGACCAUCGAUUAUCACUGGAGGCUUUGUACGUGGAGCUGGAACCGGUCUUACCGGACUGGGGAGACGCACUGAGGACCGAGUGCUCAAAGCAGGCACCGGCCGUACAGGGCUAUGGAUGCGAACUGGAGGGAGAGUGCGAAGAACAGGCACAGGACGUACUGGAUGAUGGAGGCGCACUGGAGGGAGAGCGUGAGGAGCAGGCACAGGAUGUGCCGUGCUAUGGAGGUGCACUGGAGAUAGAGUGCGAGAGGCAGGCACAUGCUCACCACAAAAGGCACGGGGA